GUAUCCACAAGGAAACCUUACCUUGGGACUAUAUAAACCCAACUCUCGACCUCCCACAACAAACAUAAACCUAAAACGGCAAAGCCUGACGUCAAAUUUACAAAUUAAAACUUGAGCGCCGUCUAGAUCUGCAAGUACGAUCUGUAACUCCAUUUUGACACAAAAGCAGAGAUGAGUUCUAAGAUCAGAUCCCGCCGUUAGAUCGAGUCAUGGUCUUGUCUUAUAGAAAGGUUCAUGGUCUUAUUUUCCAUGUUGGGGCCCAAUUUUCACCAGCCGUGUAUCUCUUUUGUCCUGUCCGUCCCGAUUGUUUUUGGUCUCAUCGGAGUAUUGAGAUCCCUUUCCAAGAUGAACCAACAAGGUUUUGUUGUGAUUUUUCUCUCCAAGCGAAUUUUCCAUUUACUUACAUCUAACCAUUCACCAUUCUAAGUCCAACAUAGCGGAUUCUAAGUCCAACAUAGUGAAUUCUAAGUUCAACAUAUCGUAAUGGUUUUUUAUUCUAAAUAUAAUUUAGAAAAAGAAAUGAACAUAUUUCAGGAUAUGCAAAAUAGAUCUAUAAAUUUUGUAGGAAUAAUUUUUAAAUAAAUGCGUUUUUCUAAUUAUGUGGGGAGGAACAAUUGUUGAUACAAUUACUUAUAUCAGUCACUUUAAUGCAAAUCUACAUCUGGGGUAAGAUGUUUGAGUUUUCACCAUCCCUUAUCAAUCGCAUGUUUCACAUUAAUAUCUCUGGUGUAGAUCCGUCGAGUCUUUGUAAUAAUUAUAUUUCAGUAUAUGCAAAAAGAAAAUUGUAACUUAAA